rnacentral:rRNA from 1 species
AUUGAACGCUGGCGGCAGGCCUAACACAUGCAAGUCGAGCGGACGAAGGAAGCUUGUUCCUGGAUUCCGCGGCGGACGGGUGUGUAAUGCACACGAAUCUGCCUGGUCGAGGGGGCUAACGUCCGGUCACGGGCGCUAAUAUCGUACAGGUCCUGAUGUUGAAAGGGGUGGUUCUUCGGAGAUCGCCGUAUCAGCUGAGCCUAGGCCGGAUUAGCUAGCUGGUGGGGUAAAGGCCUACGAAGGCGACUAUCCGUAACUGAUCUGAGAGGGUGAUCAGUCACACUGGAACUGAGACACGGUCCAGACUCCUACGGGAGGCAGCAGUGGGGAAUAUUGCGCAAUGGGCGAAAGCCUGAUCGAGCAAUGCCGCGUGUGUGAUGAAGGUCUUCGGAUUGUAAAGCACUUUAAGUUGGGAGGAAGGGCUGUGAGUGAAACUCUUCCUGUUUUGACGUUACCUACAGAGAAAGCACCGGCUAACUACGUG